rnacentral:misc_RNA from 1 species
GUGAAAACCGGAUGAGCUUCUGAGCUCUGACAAAUAUCCCCUUCAAAAUCUUCUAGUAAUAAAUUUUCAUGCCUCCAAUGACCAAAUUGACCCUCUACUAAGCCCAAAUUUGCUCGAGUGUAAAAACUCGAAAUUAGCCACCCCAAGGCGCAGGCAUUUGGUCUGCCAUAGGGGCGUGGCUUGGGAUUUCAAGAACAUGGGGUUGGACCGUACGGAAAAGGGCAAUCCAGCCGUCGAAUGAGAAACACGUGGACGGAAGAAAAGGAGGGAUAGCUGCUGUCCACAAAAUCAGGUUGUCUACUUGUCGGCCACCCCAGUUUUAUCUGCUCUGUUAAAUCGGUGUCAGUACAACUGGUCGUGAGGCUGCCACGUUGCAGAUCAGCAGGGUGAGUUGUCAACAUGAAUCUCAUUUAACAGUGGCAGAAGAUUAAUAUGCUGAUACUGUACUGCGCAUCUGCCCUGAUAAUGUGGGACCAGUGAGCUUCGUGAUGAAGUUGUUAAUAUUUUUUUUUAAAUUAAUAUACCUUAUUAUUUUUUUAAGAAAGCUGGCAAAUGAUGGCACAGAGGAUGGUUUCUGUCUUUCUGAUUUCUCCGGCUGUGUUGUGUCUCGAGCGCAGUAAAGCUGGGAGGGUUUUCUCCUGAAAGACGACGAUGCCAAAUCCAUCGCAGUUGGGAAGUCAGUUGUAUGCCUUUUCCAUAACAAGU